AGGGUUUGAUCAUGGCUCAGGAUGAACGCUGGCGGCGUGCUUAACACAUGCAAGUCGAACGAACCUUCGGGUUAGUGGCGGACGGGUGAGUAACGCGUGAGAAUCUGCCCUCAGGAGGGGGAUAACGGUUGGAAACGACCGCUAAUACCCCAUAUGCCUACUGGUGAAAUGAAUUUCGCCUGAGGAUGAGCUCGCGUCUGAUUAGCUAGUUGGUGAGGUAAUGGCUCACCAAGGCUUCGAUCAGUAGCUGGUCUGAGAGGAUGAUCAGCCACACUGGGACUGAGACACGGCCCAGACUCCUACGGGAGGCAGCAGUGGGGAAUUUUCCGCAAUGGGCGGAAGCCUGACGGAGCAACGCCGCGUGAGGGACGAAGGCCUCUGGGCUGUAAACCUCUUUUCUCAAGGAAGAAGAUAUGACGGUACUUGAGGAAUAAGCCACGGCUAAUUCCGUGCCAGCCGCCGCGGUAAUUC
rnacentral:rRNA from 1 species